rnacentral:rRNA from 1 species
AUUGAACGCUGGCGGAAUGCUUUACACAUGCAAGUCGAACGGCAGCACGGGUGCUUGCACCUGGUGGCGAGUGGCGAACGGGUGAGUAAUACAUCGGAAAGUACCCUGACGUGGGGGAUAACGUAGCGAAAGUUACGCUAAUACCGCAUACGUCGUGAGGGAGCAAGCAGGGGAUCGGAAGACCUGGCGCGUCAGGAGCGGACGAUGGCGGAUUAGAUAGUCGGUAGGGUAAAGGCCUCCCAAGGCGACGAUCCGUAGCGGGUCUGAGAGGAGGACCCGCAACACUGGAACUGAGACACGGUCCAGACUCCUACGGGAGGCAGCAGUGGGGAAUUUUGGACAAUUGGCGAAAGCCUGAUCCAGCCAUUCCGCGUGAGUGAAGAAGGCUUUCGGGUUGUAAAGCUCUUUCGGCAGGGAAGAAACGGUUUUGCAUAAUACCCAGAACUAAUGACGGUACCUGAAGAAGAAGCACCGGCUAACUACGUGCCAGCCGCCGCAGUAA